rnacentral:rRNA from 1 species
UACGUAGGGUGCAAGCGUUGUCCGGAAUUAUUGGGCGUAAAGAGCUCGUAGGCGGUUUGUCGCGUCGAAUGUGAAAUCCCGGGGCUCAACCCCGGGCCUGCAGCCGAUACGGGCAGACUAGAGUUCGGCAGGGGAGACUGGAAUUCCUGGUGUAGCGGUGAAAUGCGCAGAUAUCAGGAGGAACACCGGUGGCGAAGGCGGGUCUCUGGGCCGAUACUGACGCUGAGGAGCGAAAGCGUGGGGAGCAAACAGG